CUGAUCAUACUGAAGACUGAAAUGCUCUGUUUAUCCACAGAACAGAUACAGCCCGGGAAACGCCAAUGUAAUGUGUCAACGUGCCUAAACCCUGACCUGGAGGGACAGCCGUUGAGAAUGAGAGGUUAGUUGAGUCCCAGAGUCCCAGACUGUAAGAGCU
ensembl:misc_RNA